rnacentral:misc_RNA from 1 species
UUUCCGUAGGUGAACCUGAGGAAGGAUCAUUAUUGUAUAACCGAGGUGCGAGGGCUGUCGCUGACCCGAAAGGUCGUGCACGCCCGAGUGCCCUCACACACAUCCAUCUCACCCCUAUGUGCACCACCGCGUGGGUCCCCCUUUGGCUUGUUCGGAGGGGGGCUUACGUUUUCACACAAACUUUGUAUGCAGUGUAGAAUGUAUUUUUUGUUUUUGCGAUCACGCAAUCAAUACAACUUUCAACAACGGAUCUCUUGGCUCUC